rnacentral:rRNA from 1 species
GAACGGGUGAGUAACACGUGGGCAACCUGCCCAAAAGAGGGGGAUAACACUUGGAAACAGGUGCUAAUACCGCAUAACCAUAGUUACCGCAUGGUAGCUAUGUAAAAGGUGGCUAUGCUACCGCUUUUGGAUGGGCCCGCGGCGCAUUAGCUAGUUGGUGGGGUAAAGGCUUACCAAGGCGAUGAUGCGUAGCCGAACUGAGAGGUUGAUCGGCCACAUUGGGACUGAGACACGGCCCAAACUCCUACGGGAGGCAGCAGUAGGGAAUCUUCCACAAUGGGCGAAAGCCUGAUGGAGCAACGCCGCGUGGGUGAAGAAGGUCUUCGGAUCGUAAAACCCUGUUGUUAGAGAAGAAAGUGCGUGAGAGUAACUGUUCACGUUUCGACGGUAUCUAACCAGAAAGCCACGGCUAACUACGUGCCAGCAGCCGCGGUAAUACGUGGGUGGCAAGCGUUAUCCGGAUUUAUUGGGCGUAAAGGGAACGCAGGCGGUCUUUUAAGUCUGAUGUGAAAGCCUUCGGCUUAACCGGAGUAGUGCAUUGGAAACUGGGAGACUUGAGUGCAGAAGAGGAGAGUGGAACUCCAUGUGUAGCGGUGAAAUGCGUAGAUAUAUGGAGGAACACCGGA